rnacentral:rRNA from 1 species
AUUGAACGCUGGCGGCAGGCCUAACACAUGCAAGUCGAGCGGAGCGGCGGACGGGUGAGUAAUGCCUAGGAAUCUGCCUGGUAGUGGGGGAUAACGUCCGGAAACGGGCGCUAAUACCGCAUACUAUCAGAUGAGCCUUGGUCGGAUUAGCUAGUUGGUGGGGUAAAGGCCUACCAAGGCGACGAUCCGUAACUGGUCUGAGAGGAUGAUCAGUCACACUGGAACGGAGACACGGGCCAGACGCCUACGGUACGAAGCAGGGGAGAAUAAGGGACAAGUGGCGAAAGCCUGAUGCAGCCAUGCCGCGUGUGUGAAGAAGGUCUUCGGAUUGUAAAGCACUUUAAGUUGGGAGGCGUUACCAACAGAAUAAGCACCGGCUAACUGCGUGCCAGCGGCCGCGGUAAUUC